rnacentral:rRNA from 1 species
GUGCCAGCAGCCGCGGUAAUACGUAGGUGGCAAGCGUUGUCCGGAAUUAUUGGGCGUAAAGGGAGCGCAGGUGGGAAUGUAAGUCAAUCUUAAAAGUGCGGGGCUCAACCCCGUGAUGGGAUAGAAACUACAUUUCUUGAGUGCAGGAGAGGAAAGUGGAAUUCCUAGUGUAGCGGUGAAAUGCGUAGAUAUUAGGAGGAACACCAGUGGCGAAGGCGACUUUCUGGACUGUUACUGACACUGAGGCUCGAAAGCUAGGGGAGCGAACGGGAUUAGAUACCCCGGUAGUCC